rnacentral:rRNA from 1 species
AUGCUCAAGGCUGGAUUGAUCGUGCCUAGCAUCAGCCCUUUCUCCUCUCCGGUGUUGCUGGUCAAGAAGAAAGAUCAAACUUGGCGGUUUUGUGUGGAUUACCGGCAUUUGAAUGCAAUCACUGUCAAGAACACUUAUCCCCUACCUGUGAUCGAUGAAUUACUAGACGAGCUGGCAGGGUCUCGGUGGUUCUCUAAACUAGAUCUGCGGGCAGGGUAUCAUCAAAUCCGUCUGGUGGAGCAAGACGAAGAAAAGACAACGUUCAAGACCCAUCAAGGGCACUACCAAUUUAGGGUUCUGCCGUAUGGUGUGACAGGUGGCCCGCCAACAUUUCAGAAUGCUGUG